rnacentral:lncRNA from 1 species
AAAAAAAAAAAAAAAAAAAAAAAAAAAAAAAAAAAAAAAAAAAAUAAAAAACAAAAAAAAAAAAAUAAUAAAUAAAAAAUAAGUAAAUAAAUAAAUUAAUAAACAAAUAAAUAAAUAAAUUAAUAAACAAAUAAAUAAAUAAAUAAAAGAUGAUAAAACAUGGAUAAAAAGAAAAAAGAGGUAAAGUACAGUUUAGGUUAAAUAAGACACACUCUUGACGAAUAUUGUAACGCAUAGAAUAAAAUAGUUUUUUUUUUUUUUUUUAAAUACUCGAUACAUAUAUGCACACACAUAUAUAUAAAUAUAAAUAUAUAUAUAUAUAUAUAUAUAUAUAUAUAUAUAUGUAUAAACAGAUUGUCGGAUUGGAAUUAUAAAUAUGCGAAAGUACUAGAUGUGAUGUAUAAUGUUACUAAUAAAACGAAAGACAAUAUUAUUUUUUAGUGCAAAAAAAAAAAAAAAAAAAAAAAAAAAAAAAAAAAAAAAAAAGAGAAAAAUGAGAAAAAUGAGAGAAAACAGCGAAAACAGAAAGAAAAUAAAAUGUAUGUACCUGCAGUACAUAUACAUAUAUAUGUAUUAACUCUUGCAUAAAUUUAUGUAUGAAUUUACAUGCAAUUGUACAUGUAUACACUUUUUUUUUUUAAUGCUUUUCCUUUUCUAUAAAAGGUGAUAUAUUUUUGUGCUUACACAGGUGUAUACAUAUACAUACGUGCACGAACUCCCCAUAAAUAUUAUUAUAUUAUUUUUUAUUUUUUUUUAUUGAUUUUUUUUUUUUUUUUUUUUUUUUUUUACCUAAACUUAUUUUGUCGAUACCUUUUAUUUUUAUCUUAUCGUAUACCAGUUCGUUUAAUACAUAUGUAUACACAAUUGUACAUACAUACGUGCACAUAUUAAACGUGUUAAAUUUUACUUGUUUUUAUAACUCGUCAUAAAUUCAAAAUUUUAUUUAAAGUCUUAUAUAUCCGCUAGUUACAUACAUAUAUAUAUAUAUAUAUAUAUAUAUAUAUAUAUAUAUA